GAAAGGGCUCUCAGGCACCCCUUUCUUCUUUCCUGAAAGGAUCAAUCGCAGAGCUCUGCCUUUGUGUGUGUGAUGGCCCUGCUGUGAAGUACACUUAAGGAAUCAAGUUUUCUAAAAUUCUAUAAAUCAUUAUUCCAGCCUCUUGCUCACCCGCUCCAAAAUCAUUCAUCUGCUGAAAUAUUUAGCGAUGGGUGCGUCUGCGCACACACACCCUGUAGGCAGGCAUGCGGAAGAGGACAUAGGAGCCGUGGCAGAGGUGUCCCAAGGCCUCUGCCUCUCUGCUGUCCCUUCACAGCGACCUUAACAGGCCCCAUGAUAGUCAUGUGCAGGUGAUCGUGACCAAAUCUUGAGAUGUGGCUUCCUCCGCCCCUCUCGAGGGCUCCAUAAAAGGAAGUCCCCAGGGUACUGUGGUAACACCCUGGUGGCUCCCUCUGGGGUCCCAAAGAGGAAGGCGUGGGUGUGUGCACAGGUUUGUGGUCAGGUCUGCUAGGGUGGCCGGGGAACACCACCCUGUAGAAGUUGUUCCUGGCUCCUGUCCUCUGCACUGUUGGCCACUCUUAGCAAGCAUCUGGGGAGAGCAGUGUUGUGCUGAUGUGAUGAGUUUAGCCUGUGAGUUGUGGGCUGGGCAGGGGAGACUGGAAGUGGUGGCCCUUUGGUGGACUUGGUUAUUUGAGAGUGAGGGUUUUGGCCUGGUUCCUCUGUCCUCACCAGGGCUAGAAGCUCCAGUACUUUCCAGAAUUUUCCACCCCUCCCUCCCUGUACACACACACCCUGACACAUGACAGGGCAGACCACAGCAGCCACAGCCAAUGUCCCUGAAAGGCAAGGCAGGCCUGAUUGAUUUGCAGUGGUUGAUCUGUGUAAUGUCCCUUCUCCCCAAGCACCCAUCUCGCCUGCAGAGGUGCUACAUUACUUCGCAGGCCUGGCUGCCAGCCUGACACCCUACGCCCUGGAGGAUGCUUGGGAGGUUACAGGUGCAACAAGCAAAAUGAAAAUCCAUAGUUUUAAACCUUUAUGAAUUGAGAAUGUGAACCUGGCAAAUGGACCCGGAGUUACUAACGGACAAUUGGUGUAACCAGCCCAUCCAUCCUCCAGGACCUGGCAAGGCCAUUUCCGUGAACUGCUGGCUCCUAAACACGGAGCCUUCCCUGAGCCUGCCUUCCCUCCCCCUUCUCAGAGUCAGGAAAACAGAUGCAGGCAUGGGAAAAAGACCUGCAGACGGCCUGCCAGGGGCCCCCCGGCUCUGUGUGCCCAGGUGAGGCCUUAGGAGGAGGCAGCAGUGGGUGUCGGGGAGGGGAUUCAGGCCUCCUGGGCUGUCCAGGGCUUUAGCCAACCAUCAAUGGGCGAAACAGAGCCGCUAUCCUGACUUCCACAUACAAGCAUUAGAAAUCUCCUCUUGUACAAAGGAAGACCAUAUCCCAACCAUACAUGUGCACUUGACUCAAUGGCUGUGCUAUCAAGUGGGAGGGACAUCCAGCCCUGGGUCCCCCCGGUCCUAGCCAUCUGUAUGUACUAAGGACACUGUCUCUCAGAGCCUGCAAACAUGCCAUCCCUGCAAUACCCAUGAGUCACUCACCUUCUCAGAGGAGCCUUUUCUGGCAAUUCUGUUGAAUGUUGCCCCAACCCUGUAUUCCCUACACACUGCCUGCUUUAUUUUCUCUAUAGCUGUGGUCACAAUUGGACGGACUGUAUAUUUUACUUAUUUGUGGGUUUCAUAUCUGUUUUUCUCCUCUAGGACAGAAGCUCCAUGAGGGCUGGAAUUAUCGUCUGUUCUGUUUGCUAUUUUUUCCAAGCACCUAGAAAAUUACCUGGCACAUAGUAGGUGAAUAAUAAGUAUUUGUUGAGUGAAUAAAUGAAUGGUUGGAUGUCCCAGAGGUGUGAGGCUUUUCCUUGUUUGAACCCCAGCACUCUGAUCUCCACCCUCUAGAGGGGAUUGUCCCUUUCCUGUUGCUGCUUCAUUAGCUGUCGUGACCUUGCCAGGACCUGCCUGCUCGGCUGCCUUCCCACUCUUUUUUCUCCUGUCCAGCCCCGCGCCAUUCUCAUGCUCCUGGUACAUGAGAGCAGUUUACUGUUCUGCUCCCGUCUGGGUGUUCUCUCUUUUCCUGCAGGCCCAAGAUCACUAAUUAAAUGAAGGGACUUGGCGUUUUUCUCCCUGCAUGCCCCCAUCCUUCACCAAGCACCCCCCAACCCCAACACUUGGACACAACUGAUGCUGAGUUGGAAGUUUCCUAAAAGUUACUGUGGACUUUCCCUCUAGACAGCAGCAUGAGCUGCUCCGCACCUUCACAAACAAGGGAACAAGGGGACAAGUUCAGCCCUUUGAGGAUUAAACUCUGAAAUCAACCCAUGAUUGAUGGGGGCAGAGAUAAACAGCCCUGAGAAGCAGAAGGGACACAAAAGAAGUGAUCAAUAAAUGUUAGCUUCCUUCUGCUGUGGUCUGAAUGUUUGUGUCCCUUCAAAAUUCAUAUCUUCAUACCUAAUCUCCAAUGAGAUAGUGUUAAGGGGUGGAGCUUUGGGCGGAGUCCUCAUGAAUGGGAUUAGUGCCUUUAAAAUAUAGGCCUGAGGAAGUUUGUUUUCCCUUCUGCCAUGUGAGCACACAGCUGGAAGGUGCCAUCUAUGAGGCAGAGCAUGGGUCCUCGCCAGACACCAAAUCUGUUGUCACCUUGAUCUUGGACUUCCCAGCCUCCAGAACUGUGAGCAACAAGUUUCUGUUGUUUAUAAAUUAUCCAGUCCAAGAAACUGUGUUACAGCAGCCUGAAUGGACUAAGACACCUUCCUUUUCCCUUCAUUUUCUCACUGCACGAGUCUGGGGUAUUUGUUCAUCAGAUGAUGUGUCAGUCAGGAUGAGUUAGGUGAUCAUGCUGCAGUAACUAACAAAAGAUUAUUUCUAGAUUAUGCUAUGGUCAUGAAAGUUUCUUUCUGCCUCAUGCUACAGAUCCCCCAUGGCUGAGGAGUUUUGUUGUAGUUCUCUUCAUUCUGCACUGCAGGCAGAUACAAGAGUGAGUAUCUUUGACAUUCCCUGUUGCAGAGAGAAAGAGAAUGUAUCAUGAGUGGGUGCUUUCUUAAGUCUACCCAGGAAGUGACAUUUAUAUUCCCACUCACUUUUCACUGGCUUGAACAUGUCACAUGGCUAUGUGGAGCAGGAAGGGCAAUCUUGCCAUGUGCCCCAGGGGAGAUCCGGAAGUCAUCUGAUGAAUAGCACUGACUCCCACCGUGAGAGGCCUUUUUCUGAAAGAAGGGGUGCACUGGGUCACUGCCGACACUUUUCCUGUUUUGAGGAACCUAUCAGACCCUCUGGUUCUUCUAUCUUUUCAACACAUGCCAAUCUUGGAUGAACCCAAUUAUCUGCCUUCAUUCAAGGAGCUGAGGACUGUUGGAGGAAGUCUCACAAUAGGACAGACAGAUGGAUGCCACUGGAAACGUACAAACUCCAAUCUCAAAUAAAGCCUCAAAACUGCCCAGCAACCCUACAGUGGUUCUCUGCCAACUUUCCCUCCUUCGCUCUCCAGAGUGAUGAGUUCAGAACUUUGCCAUUGCCUUCACACUUUCAAGCUCUUCCAUCCUUGCCUUUCUUCUCACUCUUGACAGCAUUUCUCAAAGUUCUUAUUCUGGAAAACACUUUAAAAUACUUUCUAGGUCUGA
rnacentral:lncRNA from 1 species